rnacentral:rRNA from 1 species
UACGUAGGUGGCAAGCGUUAUCCGGAUUUACUGGGUGUAAGGGCGCGUAGGCGGGGAUGCAAGUCAGAUGUGGAAUCUAUGGGCUUAACUCGUAAACUGCAUUUGAAACUGUGUCUCUUGAGUGCUGGAGAGGUAGAUGGAAUUCCUUGUGUAGCGGUGAAAUGCGUAGAUAUAAGGAAGAACACCAGUGGCGAAGGCGAUCUACUGGACAGUAACUGACGCUGAGGCGCGAAAGUGUGGGGAGCAAACA